CAUAUGAUCAUAUAAAUAAAUGUGAUGUCACCGGGGUAAAUGGCAAAUAUGAACCAUAAAUGAUAUAUAUCAUUGGUAAUUGAUCUAAAUCUAUUAGGUAUUAAGU